rnacentral:rRNA from 1 species
GGGUGCGACCAUACUUGGCCGAAUGCACCAUAUCCCGUCCGAUUUGUGAAGUUAAGCGGCCACAGGCCUCGUUAGCACGGCGACCUCUCACUGUGCCGGAACCCGGGGUGCCGUACCCU